AACUUUUUCCAAGACUUGGUAACAAAGGAUUAUCUAUCUGUAUGAGAGAAAAGGGAAGGAGGACUGCUGAAAAAAGGGAAGGGUGAAGGGUUUUGCACUAUAUGUUAGCUCUUCCAGCAGAACCCGGCGCUGUCAAGCUGUCAAUGUCUCUCUACCGCCUCGGAGACACAGGCCUCCGGGAAACCACAGGGUCGACGGGAACGGCGGAGUGUAGCAUCCCCGGACCCCAAGUCCACAGUGCCUCUCCCACUUGACCUGUCGGCGCCCCUUCUCAAACGUACGGAUCUCCAAGAGGAAGGACCUCCUCCCUCUCCACUCUCAGAGUAAAGCAAGCCAGCAGCGCAAAGCGCACCUCCCGGGGACGCAAAGACUCGACCGAAAGCCACCACCCCAGACACAGACCCUUCCUGGGAAAAUGCUCCUUCCAGAACCUUCUCAACACCACCCCUGUUUCCCCCGGGAGCGUUUACUUUGGAUCAGCGAGAUGGAAAACAAAGGCUGAAGAGAACAGGCUGGGCCCCUCCCCAGAGCCCGCCGCCAGCUGGCCCAGGUGUGCCAGGUGCGCCCUGGAGGCGUGGGGACGAGGGACGGGGGCCUGCAGGGGGGGCAUGCAGGAGGGCCCUGCGGGGCGCCGCGGGGCUGCCCGGGGAGAAUGCGCCUCUGGGGCCUGCGGGGUGAUGGGUGGGUCCCUUACGGUCUCCCUCAGCUUCCUCUCGUGGUCCAGCUCGCGCUGCAGGGUACCCGCGCGCUCCUCUGCGGCGUCCGCCUGCUCCUGCAAGCUCCGGAUCUUCCUCCGCACCGCCUCCAGCGAGCUACUCCCCGCCAUCGCGCCGGCCGGUAGGCGGGCGGGAGGGCUGCAGUGGGAGAGGCCGGCUGCUGCCCUGCGGACCCGGCUGCCGCGGCUGUCCUGGCUGCCCAGCGCCGGUCCGCCCCGCCUAGGCCUCUCUGUGCGACGGCGGCGCCCCCUGCGGCCAGGAGCAGUCCGGAAGUCGCGGCCUCCAGGGCUGCGCAGACAAACCGCAGGCGGGCGCGCGAGCGCCGGGGUCGGGCACGGCUGGGCGGGGCGCGCGCCGCGGAUCCCGGGACCGGCCGGGGGCACUGCGCAUGCUCGCGGCGGCGGGGAGAAAGGCGCGCCCGGGGCGCUGCGGCGGUACCUGGUGAGCUGGGCGCUCCGGGAGGCCACUGCACGAGGGCUCUGGCUUCCACUUCUAGGGCCCCUCCCCGGCGCCUUGGUGACCCGGGGUAACGGAGCUGGCUGCUAAGGGCAAUAGCGACUCCUGCUGGCCGCGGGAGCGCUCCGCUCCCGAGUCCAGAUUCCCAUGCCCAGGAGCCAGAGAAGCUGAGUGGCAGGUCUGGAGCCGGAAUAUGCCCUAAAGGGCCGGAUCCCAACCGCAAGAUUAUAACCCCAGCACUACCCCCAUUCCCCAAAACUUCACGAAGUGAAAACCACCCACGUGUAGAGCACAGUGGUUAGACCUCCUGUUCUAAAUGCAGUUUUCCUACGUUGAAUCUGGCUCCUAGUUUCCUGCUGCGUGACUUCGGACAAAUAACUUGUCUUCUCUGGGCGUCAUCUGUAAAAGUGGGAAUAAUAAGAGUACUUUCCCCAUGGGGCUGCUAUGAGAAUUAUGAAAGACUAUAAAGCGCUUAGCACAAUACCUUGUACAUAGUUAAAAACUCAAAUGAUAGCUACGAUUAAGAAAUACACAAGCACUGUUUUAAGAGUCAGGCUGAGGCCCAUAAUCAGCUGUGUGAUCUCAGGCCAACCUCCCUGGGGCUCACUUUCCAUGAAAACAGUCAUCCAAAUGGUCUCUUCUCUUUACAGCCUUCUUUGGUGUCAGACCAGCCUCUGAGAUCUCCUGGAAUCCAAUCAGUCCUGGGCUGGACUGGGAUGCCUUUAAAAGGCACCCCAAGGAAAGCCACAGAACCCUAUGAGAGAGCCUCUGGCUACAGGUGGAGAAAACCACGGCAGAUACAGUCUCCACCGUUUUCCCCCUUGGGCUGUAUUCUUAAAUGCCUUCUAAGUCUCAGGGCUUUUUCUCCUCAGGUUUGUCACAGAAAGCUCUUAAAGCCAGUUCCCUAUGUGUGGGAAUAAUAAAGAAAACAUGCUUGACAACCCUCUCCUCCUCCAAGCCCUAACAAGGAACUUUUGCUUUCCUGACUUAUUUUCUGUGGAGUUCCUCACAGCCUCUGCUGAGACUCUCACAAAUCCCAGCUUGGGUCCUUGCAACCUGUAGGUGGGAGCUUCUCGCUUUGUUUCCCCGCGGUUCAUCUGGUCAGGCGGGGAGGUUACAGCUGGUCCCCUAAGUGCAGAGACUGUGGGCCUCCAACAUUGAGAAUGGGGGAACUGGGUGUCUGGGAACGUCCAGGAGCAGCCAGGAAACUGCUGGACACUGGCAAGUGCCCAAAGCAGCCAACUAGUGACUUAACGUCCUGGGAAAGUCAGUUUCAGGUGAGUUCAUUUUCAUGUCGAUGUCAUUAUACAAGAGUUUAGGAGAGUUUUCUCAUCCUUGUCUGUAGGUUGGAAUCACUUGGGUAUUUUUUAAAUGCUGCCACCUGGGUUGCAUCCCCAGGGAUUCUGAUUUAACUGGCCUUGGGUGCAUCCUAACUUUGGGUUUUAAAAGCUCCCUAAAUGAUUAUGUUUCGAGAAGGUUGAGAAUCCCUAAGUUAAGAAGUAAAGACCUACAAAGGGAUAAAGACUCACAUGCUAUAAAUAUCAGAUAUAUCACAGUUACUGGGGAAGAGACUGGGGGCCAGAAAAAAAUGGAGUCUUCGAUCCCCUUCAGCCUCACUUUUGACUUAGGUGGAAAGACAACACAAAAUUCGAAACAAGACCAUCAGGGAUACUACUCCUGAAUGACAAUCUUCUAAGCUAGGAAGAGCCCACUUCCAGAAUAGGAUUUGUAAAGUACAUCAGUAAAGUAGUAGAAAAAUGUUUUUAGUAAUAAUAGUAGAAAAAUGUAAAAGUGUUUUACACUGGUGAAUAAUGACAGUGAAAUGUCCUAAUCCCAAAGGUAAUAUGAUUCCACCUCAGGAAGCUGACUUCUCCCUCCCCCCACUUCUCCCUUUUUCUAGUGACAUCUGUCUCUUCCUCCUCAAGUUUUGACUAUUUUUUAGUAAAUAAAAAACUACCACUCUCAAUAUGGUCAUACACCGCAUAAUGAUGUUUUGGUCAAUGAGGGGCUGCAUUUAUGAGAGUAGCCUCAUAAGAUUAUAAUAGAUCUAAAAAAUUCCUGUCUCCUGGUGAUUUGUGUUACAAUUGUUGACAGUAUUCAGUACAGUAACAUACCGUACAAGUUUGUAGCCUAGAUGUUUAGUAGGCUAUACCCUCUAGGUUUGUGUAAGUACCAUACACUCUAUGGUGUUUGCGCAAUGAAGAAAUCACCUAACGACACACGUC
rnacentral:antisense_RNA from 1 species